GGGGGAGGCAGAACCUUCUGGCUCUGCCGCUAACCACACACACCCAGACGCUGGUGUACACCCUCAAGGAGCCCAAAGGGAUAGCAAUAUAUCUGCCAUCUAUUCUGUAUCCUGAACGCUUUUGAAAUGCCAAGCUGGCUUCCCUCUGCUUGUCCCCACCCCUGAGCAAACCUCAGAGGAGCUGUGCUCAUAAGGCAAAUCUUUAGCUUCCCUCCCUCUUCAAGGUAGGUCCCCCUGCCUUGCUGCUCAGGGGUCCCUCUGCUCCCUUUUAUUAGAGAGACGUGGUUCAGGGUCACCUUGUGCUUGCAGCUCAGAGGUGGUUGGGUAGAGCACACUUUGAAUGCUUUACGCGUCGUUCCACCCUGAGACGGGCAUUUUCCUUUCAGUUUCUCUUCCGUAGGUCGUGACAGAUUCUUAUCUUAUUUCCAAUCCUGCCUCCCACCCUCAUCCCUCCUGGUGGAGAAAUUCACAUUUUUGCCAGAUGGCUUGGCAGUCUCCUAUCCCCAAAUCCAGGUACAAAGUUCUCCUGUCCACGCAGGCUGGGGCAGCUCUGUGACCUGCAAGCGCCUAGAGCCCAGUCCCCACAGACCUGUGCCCAUGAGUAAAGAGCUGACCAGCCAGAUACUCGCCAUGCAAACAUAAGAACCUGGGUUCAGAUGCUGAGGUCCGAAGCUCUGACCAGCUCGAGAUCUGGAGAUCUGAGUUCCUUCCUGCCCAGGGCUGGCUGAAGAAUCCUGACUUGUUUCUGUUCCAGCAAUCCCCGAAGCGAGAGCUUCCAUGUGCCCAUACACCCUCCCAACCCCCUUCUCUAGUGAGGCUCUGGGGCCGUUCGGGAACAGCAAAGGCAUUCUAAAUCUUCCGGAGCUGGGUUGCAAGUCUUAGCAUAUCAGUUCAUUGCAGGAGGUAGCCAUUGUGGCAACAACAUUAUGCCGCCUGUCGGGGUCAUGUGACCAGCAUACCUAUAGGUCUCUGUUUCUGUGUCACACAGAAUCCCUAAGUGUUGUGAUGAAUAGAUUUUUUUGUCUUCCUUCCUGCAGCCCUACCUGAGUUGGGGGUGAUAGGUCUGGAUAAAGGGUCAGAGACGGCAUCCCUCACAACCUCCUCUCAGAAAGCUAAAUCAGAAGUCAUAGCCCGCCAAAACGUGGUGUCAGGCCCACACACCUCAGGGGCUUAUUUCACCUCUAUAUAACAGCAGGGGUUGACAGCCCCAUCCGCAUUCCAGUGAAGUGACCUUGGGGGGUGAAAUGACUUCCAGAGGUCACCUCCCGCAGGAAAGAGGAGGUAAGCAGUGCUAGGCUUCUCUGGGUGUGGAGCUAUGAGCUUUCCCUCAUUUGUCAAGGUUCUCUGUGGCUUUACCUCCACUGUGCCCAGCAGCAGGAGGGCAUGGAUCUGAUUGCUGGCUGGUCUCCAUGGCAACAGCUGAUGAGCCAGCCAGCAUCGGAUGAUGGCAGAGCCUCCAGCCUCCAGAUGCCUCGGAGUAAAAGCAGGGUCUGUAGGGGAAAAGAGUACAAGGACCUCUUCUGAGCUGAGCUGCACCUGAGAUGAAACGGCAGGAUCAUAAAGGGACCAGCACCGUGAGUCAGGGCUUGAAGCAUAAUUGUACAUAAUUAAAUAUUCGAAUGUUA